rnacentral:rRNA from 1 species
CUGCUGCCUUCCGUAGGAGUCUGGUCCGUGUCUCAAUACCAGUGUGGGGGACCUUCCUCUCAGAACCCCUACGCAUCGUUGCCUUGGUGGGCCGUUACCCCGCCAACAAGCUAAUGCGCCGCAUGCCCAUCCUCCGCCGGAAUCACUUCCUUUUAACACCAGUGGGAUGCCCCACUGGUGUACCACGCGGUAUUAGUCCGGAUUUCUCCGGGUUAUCCCCCUGCGGAGGGCAGGUUGCAUACGUGUUACUCACCCGUGCGCCGGUCGCCGG